CUAGCGACUUCAGAGUUUGAUCCUGGCUCAGGACGAACGCUGGCGGCGUGCCUAACACAUGCAAGUCGAACGGGGCUAAUAUGGAAGAUCCUUCGGGGUUGGAAGUAUUAGCUUAGUGGCGAACGGGUGAGUAACGCGUGAGGAACCUGCCUUCCAGUGGGGGACAACAGUUGGAAACGACUGCUAAUACCGCAUAACAUUUCGAGACCGCAUGGUUUUGAAAUCAAAGCUUUAUGUGCUGGAAGAUGGCCUCGCGUCUGAUUAGCUAGUUGGUGGGGUAACGGCUCACCAAGGCGACGAUCAGUAGCCGGUCUGAGAGGAUGAACGGCCACAUUGGGACUGAGAUACGGCCCAG
rnacentral:rRNA from 1 species